CAUAUGUAUCUGUACAUAUAUAUACAAAAGUUUAGAAAACCUAGAGCUCCAAUCAUAUUUAUCCACCACCAAUGCCAGCCUCCACCCUCCCCUUAUUUUCCCAUUCUUUUCCGAUCAAGCUUUGCGCGAACAAACAAUCACUGUUAUUCUUCUUUUCAACCCAUCCACCUCUCUUUUUCGACGAAACAAAUGCUAAAACUGCCCCAUACCACCACCCAAACAACAAUAAAACAGUCCCUUCCAUCUUUCGUCUUCUCUCUCCCAGCAAACUAUUGAACUCUGGUGAAGCUCCCUGCGAACCGGAGAGUAACCUGUUACCAUGACGAGAUCCAGACAGACAGACCCAUGUUGCUGCUCCGUCAGAAUCUCCGAACUAGAGCUCCAAUAUAGUAUUACGAUAUAACUCGGGUGGGCACUAACAACCUUCAUCUCCGACAGCAACGAUGGAGUUCUGGUGAUGCGAACAUCACCAAUAUCUCCCAGUCUUUCCUUUUCACAAUUUGUACACCGUUUCUGGUUAAAUUUAUGGAUCUAGCCAAGUCAAAGAUAAUGGCGGAAUUGCUAUUCGACUUAUUUUCUCAGUUCGCUGCUCCGGAGAAGGUUAGUAAUUGUUUUUUUCUUCUUUUUCGCCUUCUGUUCCAUUUUUAAAAUAGAAUGCAGAAGGUUACUUCUCUUUUUUUUGCUUAGCUACUAGUUGAAUUGUGUAGUAGAAUAUGUGUAUGUGUCCUUAUUUCGAUAAAAAUCAACAUGUAGAAAGACUCACACGGCUAAGACUACUAUAGGAAGUAUUGAUUCUAUUAGUUGAAUAUAUGAAUAAUAGCGUAGCUUAUCUUUUUAUUUUUUACGUUUGGCUUAAUUCGUGUUUCGCCCCUUUUGACCUGUGAAAGGUGAAACAGAAUGAGGUUGUUCAUAGGAAGUUGUUUUCAUAGAAAUUAAUCUGCAAAUUCGUUAUCAUAUAGUUAGCCUGGUUGCUUUGUAUCUCCCCGACCAUAGUGUUUGCAGAAUAGGUGAAUUUCCUACUUGUUCAAUUGUGACCUCAAAACAUCAUGCUUUUUUUCUAUUCAGAUUUAGUAAUUUCCUCUGUCCGUUACUGUGUUCUAUUGGAUGUUUGAAAGUGAUAGUAUUCUUUAUGCUUCUUGGUAGAUGAAGUUGUUUUGAGUCAAGAUGGUCAUAUUGAAAAUGAUUUCCAGGGGAUUACUGGAAAAUAUUUUUUGUUCUAAUACCAUAACACCCUUUCGAGAAUAAUUUCUUUUAUAAUCACAAGCAACAACCCUCAAGGAUUUAUUACAUAUUGCUUUCUUGGAGACAAUUGUUUUCAUUGCCAUUUUGUCUUUUUUUUCCUUUUCUUCACUUCAUGAAUUGGUCGAUCCUCUCUUCAAAAACACUUGAAAAAUAGAUCAUCAUAAAUGAUUUUACUGUAAAAGAUUUAUAUAAUACUUAUUAAGGGAUAGUUGCUUUGGAAAAAAAAUGAUAGCAUUGCCUGUUCAAAUCGUGCUUAGUCGUACACUGGGACUUUUAUGCUCAUAAUGAUACAUUAGUUUUUUUGAAAACGUGUGGCCAAGCGGGUUCAAAUUCACCCUCUCCACUCGAGUUCGAUCCCUACACCUGUUUUUUCUACUUUUUCGGAGGUAGUGGUAUGGACUGCGGACAUCUUACCCUCCCCAGACCCCAUUUUGUGGGAAUUCACUGGGUUUGUUGUUGUUGUUGUUGUUGUUGUGUGUCGCACAUGCAUUUCAUAUUAGUAAGUGCAAAUUUUUAAUACGACUGCAAUAUUAAUUAAACAUGUGCAUGAGAUGCAAAAACAUUUAAAGAAUAAAAUAUAAGUCAAAAUGAUGGAUAAGGACCCUAUAAAAGCAACAUAGUAGUUAAAUUAUUCGAAACUUAAAAAGAACAAUUAUAUUCAUUUAGGUAGGUCCGAUUUGUUACUAUAUUACUUUUGAUGAAGUUCAAGCAUGUGAUAUGAACGGGUCUUACCUAAUAUUUCUUUAUAGACGAUGUUUUGUAUGGAUAUCUCAUUAUGAUGUCUACGUUGCUCUGUAAUGUGACUCAUGUCCAAUACUUUUAUUGUUAUGUUAGUAUCCUCUUAAUUGUAUAGCCGCUGUUGUUAAAAUGUGGGCGCCAUUUAUUGAUAUAUUAAGAAAUUUGUUUUGGGAACCCUCUCGAACUAAUUGUACUAUUACAACUAAUAAUAACAUGUUAGGUAGAAUAUUUGUAAAAUUUAUUGGAGUAAGAACAUCGAGCUUUAGGAAUAUAGAUCUGGAGGUAAUAGUUUUAUGGGUAGUGACAACCAUGAAAACAUAUUUGCAUACGUUUGUUUUUGUGGGAAUAUUUAAUCGUUUAUAUGUGGCAUUUCGUAUAUCGUGUUUAAAUUUUAUUUUUUUUCUCAUUGAAAACUCGAGUAUCUAAUCCGUAUCUUCUUCUAUUGCAUGAACUCCCUUAUUGAGUCCAUUGGACUCUUAUCUAUCACAUUCCGUUGGGUUAAACCCAACCUCCAUCGAGUCAGAGCCUCAACCGAAUUCACAAACGAGCUAGUACGCAUUGAUAUACUCUGAUAUACUGUGAAUAUACAUCGAAAGCAGCAGCUGCACGCUAUCCCACGGUUUAUGAUGAAAAAUGGAGCAAAAAUACGUAGGUAUCCACACUGAUAUACACUUUAUACACAGUGGUAUAUAGAAAAACCCAGGAAAGUAGCUGUUGAUAUACAACAGAUAUACAAGGGCGAAAAUGGACUACAAGUCAAUGGAAUUGGUCCAAAAUUGGACAGAUCUUUAAUGGGCCAAAAGGGGCCCAACUUUCUCUUCUCUAUUUAUUAUCCAUUAUAAUUUAUUUAUUUGUAUUUGCUUGAACACUUUAAUUAAUUAAUCUAAAGAUAAGUUCCUCAA